rnacentral:hammerhead_ribozyme from 1 species
GCACUGCUGAGGAGUCCCAUAGUAAGACGAAACACAUGUCCAGUGC